rnacentral:rRNA from 1 species
CGGUAAUUCCAGCUCCAAUAGCGUAUACUAAAGUUGUUGCAGUUAAAAAGCUCGUAGUUGGAUUUCUGCGGGGACGGAGCGGCCGGACGCAACUUGCGUCUCGAGCUAGCGCUUUCCCCGCAUCCUGCCGCGAACCGUGCUACCAUUAGUUUGGUGGCGCUGGGGAUCGGCUCGAUUACUUUGAGAAAAAUAGAGUGUUCAAAGCAGGCCACACGCCUUGAAUAAGUUAGCAUGGAAUAAUGACUAAGGACUUUGGUUCUUUUCGUUGGUGUUCGGGACUGAAGUAAUGAUUGAUAGGGACAGUUGGGGCGGUCCGUAUUCCAAAGCGAGAGGUGAAAUUCUUAGACCUUCGGAAGACGAACAGCUGCGAAAGCGUUCCGCAAGGAUGUUCCCUUUGAUCAAGAACGAAAGUUGGGGGAUCGAAGACGAUCAGAUACCGUCGUAGUCUCAACUAUAAACUAUACCAGCUAGGGAUCGGCCAACGUUUAAUUAUUCGACUUGGUCGGCACCUUAUGAGAAAUCAAAGCAUCUGGGUUCCGGGGGGAGUAUGGUCGCAAGGCUGAAACUUAAAGGAAUUGACGGAAGGGCACCACCAGGCGUGGAGCCUGUGGCUUAAUUUGACUCAACACGGGAAAACUUACCAGGUCCAGACAUAGGAAGGAUUGACAGAUUGAUAGCUCUUUCUUGAUUCUGUGGGUGGUGGUGCAUGGCCGUUUUUAGUCGGUGAAGUGAUUUGUCUGCUUAAUUGCGUUAACGGACGAGACCCCAGCCUGCUAAAUAGCGCAGCCGAGCUUUGCUCGGUACGAGCUUCUUAGAGGGACCAUGAUGCGCGAUAGCACAAGGAAGUUUGGGGCGACAACAGGUCUGUGAUGCCCUUAGAUGUUCUGGGCCGCACACGGGCUACACUGGCGCCUGCAACGAGCAUAUCAGCUGGCCCGAGAGGGUCUUGGCUAAUCUUUGGAACCGGCGCCGUGCUUGGGAUUGACCAUUGCAAUUGUUGGUCAUGCAACGAGGAAUGCCUUGUAAACGCGAGUCAUCAGCUCGCAUUGAAUACGUCCCUGCCCUUUGUACACACCGCCCGUCGCUCCUACCGAUGAAUGUUCCGAUGAAAUUUUCGGAGAGCGCCGGAGAACGGGGCUCUGCCCUGCAGAACUGGAGGCUCAAAGUCACUUAAAUCUGAACAUUUCGAGGAAGGAGAAGUCGUAACAAGGUAGCCG